rnacentral:rRNA from 1 species
ACGGGUGAGUAAUACGUGAGCAAUGUGCCCUUGACUCUGGGAUAAGCGCUGGAAACGGCGUCUAAUACCGGAUACGACCAUCGGAGGCAUCUCCUGGUGGUGGAAAGAACUUCGGUCAAGGAUCAGCUCACGGCCUAUCAGCUUGUUGGUGAGGUAAUGGCUCACCAAGGCGACGACGGGUAGCCGGCCUGAGAGGGUGACCGGCCACACUGGGACUGAGACACGGCCCAGACUCCUACGGGAGGCAGCAGUGGGGAAUAUUGCACAAUGGGCGCAAGCCUGAUGCAGCAACGCCGCGUGAGGGACGAAGGCCUUCGGGUUGUAAACCUCUUUUAGCAGGGAAGAAGCGAGAGUGACGGUACCUGCAGAAAAAGCACCGGCUAACUACGUGCCAGCAGCCGCGGUAAUACGUAGGGUGCAAGCGUUGUCCGGAAUUAUUGGGCGUAAAGAGCUCGUAGGCGGUUUGUCACGUCUGCUGUGAAAACCCGAGGCUCAACCUCGGGCUUGCAGUGGGUACGGGCAGACUAGAGUGCGGUAGGGGAGAUUGGAAUUCCUGGUGUAGCGGUGGAAUGCGCAGAUAUCAGGAGGAACACCGAUGGCGAAGGCAGAUCUCUGGGCCGUAACUGACGCUGAGGAGCGAAAGCAUGGGGAGCAAACAGGCUUAGAUACCCUGGUAGUCCAUGCCGUAAACGUUGGGAACUAGAUGUGGGGACCAUUCCACGGUCUCCGUGUCGUAGCUAACGCAUUAAGUUCCCCGCCUGGGGAGUACGGCCGCAAGGCUAAACUCAAGGAAUUGACGGGGGCCCGCACAAGCGGCGGAGCAUGCGGAUUAAUUCGAUGCAACGCGAAGAACCUUACCAAGGCUUGACAUAUACGAGAACGCACUGGAGACAGUGAACUCUUUGGACACUCGUAUACAGGUGGUGCAUGGUUGUCGUCAGCUCGUGUCGUGAGAUGUUGGGUUAAGUCCCGCAACGAGCGCAACCCUCGUCCUAUGUUGCCAGCACGUAAUGGUGGGAACUCAUGGGAUACUGCCGGGGUCAACUCGGAGGAAGGUGGGGAUGAGGUCAAAUCAUCAUGCCCCUUAUGUCUUGGGCUUCACGCAUGCUACAAUGGCCGGUACAAUGGGCUGCGAUACCGCAAGGUGGAGCGAAUCCCAAAAAGCCGGUCUCAGUUCGGAUUGAGGUCUGCAACUCGACCUCAUGAAGUCGGAGUCGCUAGUAAUCGCAGAUCAGCAACGCUGCGGUGAAUACGUUCCC